rnacentral:lncRNA from 1 species
GGUGCUUAUUCAGGCAGAAUAAGCAUCUGUAGCCAACGUAAAGGAAGCAUCUUCAAAAAGCAGUGCUACAAGGAUGUGAGCAGCAGUUUCCCCUCAACGAACGGGUGAAAGUCAUGGAAGCCACGUGCCUGCUGCUUCUGGCCUACACAAACAUGCAGCCACCAUAGUAAAGUUCUUGCAAAGACAUUCUACACGAACUUGCCCAAAGGUGGAAGGAAG